UCAAGUUAUUAAGGGUGCAGGGCGGAUGCCUUGGCACUAGGAGCCGAUGAAGGACGUGAUAAGCUGCGAUAAGCUUCGGGGAGUUGCACGUAAACUUUGAUCCGAAGAUUUCCGAAUGAGGAAACUCACUUAGAGUAAUGUCUAAGUAUCAUUAAGUGAAUACAUAGCUUAAUGAGGGGAACUCAGGGAACUGAAACAUCUAAGUACCUGAAGGAAGAGAAAGAAAUUCGAUUCCGUAAGUAGCGGCGAGCGAACGCGGAUUAGCCCAAACCAAUAAAGUUUUCUUUAUUGGGGUUGCGGACAUAUCAUAACGAAGAGGUAUCGUAAUUGAAGAGGUUUGGAAAGACCCACCACAGAAGGUAAUAGUCCUGUAUGUUAAACGAGAAGACUUCAGAUAUGAUCCAGAGUACCACGGGACACGUGAAACCCUGUGGGAAGCAGGAGGGACCACCCUCCAAGGCUAAAUACUACCUAGUGACCGAUAGCGUAUAGUACCGUGAGGGAAAGGUGAAAAGAACCCCGGGAGGGGAGUGAAAUAGAACCUGAAACCCUGCACUUACAAGCUGUGGAAGCACAUUUCUUGUGUGACCGCGUACUUUUUGUAGAACGGGCCAACGAGUUACGUUAAGUAGCAAGGUUAAGCACUUAAGGUGUGGAGCCGUAGCGAAAGCGAGUUUUAACUGAGCGUUCAGUUACUUGACGUAGACCCGAAACCGGGCGACCUACCCAUGAGCAGGAUGAAGCGAAAGUAAAAUUUCGUGGAGGUCCGAACCCACGAGCGUUGAAAAGCUCGGGGAUGACUUGUGGGUAGCGGUGAAAUUCCAAUCGAGCCCGGAGAUAGCUGGUUCUCCCCGAAAUAGCUUUAGGGCUAGCCUCAAGGUGAGAGAUACGGAGGUAGAGCACUGAAUGUCCUAGGGGGUAUUGCACCUACCGAAGACUAUCAAACUCCGAAUGCCGUCAUCUUAUACUUGGGAGUCAGACUGUGGGUGAUAAGAUUCAUAGUCGAAAGGGCAACAGCCCAGAUCGUCAGCUAAGGUCCCUAAAUGUAAGUUAAGUGGUAAAGGAUGUGGGAUUGCACAGACAACCAGGAUGUUGGCUUAGAAGCAGCCACUCAUUCAAAGAGUGCGUAAUAGCUCACUGGUCGAGUGAUCCUGCGCCGAAGAUUUCCGGGGCUAAAACUUACUACCGAAGCUACGGCAUCAGUAAUGAUGGGUAGGGGAGCUUCCCAUACGGGUUGAAGCAUGACCGUAAGGACAUGUGGACAGUAUGGGAGUGAGAAUGUUGGCAUGAGUAGCGAGAUGUGGGUGAGAAUCCCACAGGCCGUAAACCCAAGGUUUCCAGGGGAAGGUUCGUCCGCCCUGGGUUAGUCGGGACCUAAGCUGAGGCCGAAAGGCGUAGGUGAUGGACAACAGGUUGAUAUUCCUGUACUACCGAUAACCGUUUGAGAGAAGGGAUGACACAGUAGGAUAAGCUAAGCACACUGUUGGUUAUGUGUGCCCAAGCAUUGAGGCAGUCAAAGUAGGCAAAUCCGCUUUGAUAAUGCUGGGAUGUGAUGGGGAGCGAAAUUUAGUAGCGAAGUAGCUGAUUUCACACUGUCAAGAAAAGUCUCUAUCGAGGUUAAAGGUACCCGUACCGCAAACCGACACAGGUGGGUGAGGAGAGUAUCCUAAGGCCAGCGAGAGAACUGUUGUUAAGGAACUCGGCAAAAUGACCCCGUAACUUAGGGAUAAGGGGUGCCACCAUCAGGUGGCCGCAGAGAAUAGGCCCAAGCGACUGUUUACCAAAAACAUAGGUUUCUGCUAAGUCGCAAGACGAUGUAUAGGAGCUGACGCCUGCCCGGUGCUGGAAGGUUAAGGGGAUCUGUUAGAGCAAUCGAAGCAGUGAACUUAAGCCCCAGUAAACGGCGGCCGUAACUAUAACGGUCCUAAGGUAGCGAAAUUCCUUGUCGGGUAAGUUCCGACCCGCACGAAAGGCGUAACGAUUUGGGCACUGUCUCAACAACAGACUCGGUGAAAUUGUAAUUCCGGUGAAGAUGCCGGAUACCUGCGACAGGACGGAAAGACCCCAUGGAGCUUUACUGUAGCUUGACAUUGGGUUUUGGUACUACAUGUACAGGAUAGGUGGGAGGCUUUGAAACCAGGACGCCAGUUUUGGCGGAGCCAUCCUUGGGAUACCACCCUUGUAGUACUGGGACUCUAACCAUAGGCCAUGAAUCUGGUCUUGGGACACUGUCAGGUGGGCAGUUUGACUGGGGCGG
rnacentral:rRNA from 1 species